rnacentral:rRNA from 1 species
UACGUAGGGGGCGAGCGUUGUCCGGAAUCAUUGGGCGUAAAGAGCGUGUAGGCGGCUUGACAAGUCUCGUGUGAAACCUUGCGGCUCAACCGCAAGCCUGCACGGGAUACUGUCUCGCUAGAAUCCGGAAGAGGCGAGUGGAAUUCCUGGUGUAGCGGUGGAAUGCGCAGAUAUCAGGAGGAACACCAAUAGCGAAGGCAGCUCGCUGGGACGGUACUGACGCUGAGGCGCGAAAGCGUGGGGAGCGAACAGG